rnacentral:rRNA from 1 species
GUGUCAGCCAGGGUAACAGUUGGCAACAAGAGAUGGAUCCCUCCACCACCCGGACAUUUCAAAUUCAAUGUGGAUGCAGGAGUAUCAAUUAAUGGAAACUUGGGAACUGCAACUGUGGUAUGUCGAGAUGAGAAAGGAAUUUAUAUGGGAUUAUCCUCUCUGGUCAUUAGGGGAUUAACUGAUCCGGCGUCACUUGAAGCAACAGCUUGCCGCGAGGCGCUAGCACUGGCCACUGACCUUGGUAUUCAACACUUGUGCGUCGCGUAUGAUUGCAAGCCGGCGGUCAACCUAUUGACAUAG